rnacentral:rRNA from 1 species
UGGGGAAUAUUGGGCAAUGGGGGAAACCCUGACCCAGCAACGCCGCGUGAAGGAAGAAGGUCUUCGGAUCGUAAACUUCUAUCCUUGGUGAAGAUAAUGACGGUAGCCGAGAAGGAAGCCCCGGCUAACUACGUGCCAGCAGCCGCGGUAAUACGUAGGGGGCAAGCGUUGUCCGGAAUGAUUGGGCGUAAAGGGCGCGUAGGCGGCCUGGUAAGUCUGGAGUGAAAGUCCUGCUUUUAAGGUAGGAAUUGCUUUGGAUACUGUCGGGCUUGAGUGCAGGAGAGGUAAGUGGAAUUCCCGGUGUAGCGGUGAAAUGCGUAGAGAUCGGGAGGAACACCAGUGGCGAAGGCGACUUACUGGACUGUAACUGACGCUGAGGCGCGAAAGUGUGGGGAGCAAACAG